rnacentral:rRNA from 1 species
AGCAGCCGCGGUAAUUCCAGCUCCAAUAGCGUAUAUUAAAGUUGUUGCAGUUAAAAAGCUCGUAGUUGAAUUUCGGGGUUAGUAGGUUGGUCAUGCCUCUGGUAUGUACUGGUCUCACUGAUUCCUCCUUCCUGAUGAACCGUAAUGCCAUUAAUUUGGUGUUGCGGGGAAUUUGGACUGUUACUUUGAAAAAAUUAGAGUGUUUAAAGCAAGCUAACGCUUGAAUACAUUAGCAUGGAAUAAUGAAAUAGGACGUUCGAUCCUAUUUUGUUGGUUUCUAGGAUUGACGUAAUGAUUAAUAGGGAUAGUUGGG